AUUGAACGCUGGCGGCAUGCCUUACACAUGCAAGUCGAACGGUAACAGGUUAAGCUGACGCGUGGCGAACGGGUGAGUAAUGUAUCGGAACGUGCCCAGUCGUGGGGGAUAACUGCUCGAAAGAGCAGCUAAUACCGCAUACGACCUGAGGGUGAAAGCGGGGGAUCGCAAGACCUCGCGCGAUUGGAGCGGCCGAUAUCAGAUUAGGUAGUUGGUGAGGUAAAGGCUCACCAAGCCGACGAUCUGUAGCUGGUCUGAGAGGACGACCAGCCACACGGGGAGUGAGACACGCCCCAGCCCCCUCGGGGGGGCGGCAGGGGGGAGUUUUGGACAGGGGGCGCAGGCUGUCCCCGGCCAGGCCGGGGGAGGAAAGAGGGCCUUGGGUUUGAAACCCUUUUUUGUAGGGAAAGAAAAGGUUCUGCCAAAUCCCGGGGCCUCAUGCGGGUACCUGAAAAAAAACCCCCGGCUAACUCCGUG
rnacentral:rRNA from 1 species